AUAAUAAAUAUCCACCCACUUCUUUUGCUCAACUCAAAUCAGCACAAGUUUCUCUGAUGAGUAAACAAUGAACAGUAGCUCAUUCAGAUUUCUUGACAAGAAAACGUUUUGUUUGGCUAAAACACUGGAGUCAAGAAAGCAGUUCCUGGCAAACAGUCAGUUUUUAAAAUCAAAAUUAAUGUGAGGAUUUUUACUAUGUAGACUUUAUGUACUUGCAGAGCAGCUGGAUCGACAUAAAGUGCAACAGUGCCUCUUACGCAGUCACAUUGCUGCACACAGGAUUCACCAUCCUCAGUGGGGAAGAAGUUCGUGUUUGAAGCCAUAACAGCCUAAUGUGACAACACUCAAACUGUUCUGACACUUAAAAAAAGUCUGUUCUUUAACAAAAAGCUGGAGAUGACCACCUGAAGAGUGUUAUGGUUGAGAGCUAUACAAAGCCAGGGCUGCUGAAAGCUCCAAUUGAACACAGCAUCUCAGCACAAAUCCCUCCACUGAGAA